rnacentral:rRNA from 1 species
GCUUAGCCUUAAACAUCAAUAGUAUAAUACACCCACUAUUCGCCCGGGAACUACGAGCGCUAGCUUAAAACCCAAAGGACUUGGCGGUGCUUUAGAUCCACCUAGAGGAGCCUGUUCUAGAACCGAUAACCCCCGUUCAACCUCACCCUUCCUUGCUCUUUUCCGCCUAUAUACCGCCGUCGCCAGUUUACCCUAUGAAGGACCCACAGUAAGCACAAUCGGCAAAGCCCAGAACGUCAGGUCGACGUGUAGCGUAUGGAAGGGGAAGAAAUGGGCUACAUUCCCUAACACAGUGUAUACGAAAGAUGCGCUGAAACGCACAUCAUGAAGGAGGAUUUAGCAGUAAGCAGGAAAUAGAGUGUCCCGCUGAAAUCGGCCCUGAAGCGCGC